rnacentral:rRNA from 1 species
AAUGGGCGCAAGCCUGAUCUAGCCAUACCGCGUGAGUGAUGAAGGCCUUAGGGUCGUAAAGCUCUUUCGCCAGGGAAGAUAAUGACUGUACCUGGUAAAGAAGUCCCGGCUAACUCCGUGCCAGCAGCCGCGGUAAUACGGAGGGGACUAGCGUUGUUCGGAAUUACUGGGCGUAAAGCGCACGUAGGCGGGCCAGAAAGUAUGGGGUGAAAUCCCGGGGCUCAACCCCGGAACUGCCUCAUAAACUCCUGGUCUAGAGUUCGAGAGAGGUGAGUGGAAUUCCGAGUGUAGAGGUGAAAUUCGUAGAUAUUCGGAGGAACACCAGUGGCGAAGGCGGCUCACUGGCUCGAUACUGACGCUGAGGUGCGAAAGCGUGGGGAGCAAACAGGAUU